rnacentral:rRNA from 1 species
UUCUUUAAUGGCCGCGGUAUUUUGACCGUGCAAAGGUAGCAUAAUCAUUAGUUUAUUAAUUGUGAACUGGUAUGAAUGGUUUGACGAAACAUUUUCUUUCUUUUUUUUAUUUUUGUUGAAUUUAAACAUUAAGUUAAAAUGCUUAAAUUUAUUUAUUAGACGAGAAGACCCUAUAGAUCUUUAUUAUUAUUUAUUUUAAUUAUUUUAGUUUAUUUUUGUUUAAAAUUUGUUUUUUUUUGGUUGGGGUAAUAUUAGAUUUUAAUUAAUAUCUAUUAUUUUUUUUUUACAUUGAUUUUUGUUUAUUUGAUUUUAUUUUAUUAU